GGAUGUGAGGGCGAUCUGGCUGCGACAUCUGUCACCCCAUUGAUCGCCAGGGUUGAUCUGGCUGGCUAGGCGAGUGUCCCCUUCCUCCCUCAACGAUCCAUGUGCGUCCCUCCCGAAGCUGUGCACUCGGUUGAAGAGGACGACCACCCCCGAUAGAGGAGGACCGGUCCUCGGUCAAGGGUAUACGAGUAGCUGCGCUCCCCUGCUAGAACCUCCAAACAAGCUCUCAAGAAAACAUAGGUGUGAAGACUUUCAGCACCACAGACCUCCCCAGGAUCCUGCCACCACAAAGGUGCUCCCAAAGAUCU
rnacentral:snRNA from 1 species